GCAGAACGCGAAGAACCUUACCUGGGUUUGACAUCCGGCGCCAGACUAUGAAAGUAGUUGUUCCGAAAGGACGCCGAGACAGGUGCUGCAUGGCUGUCGUCAGCUCGUGUCGUGAGAUGUUCGGUUAAGUCCGAAAACGAGCGCAACCCCCGGGUCCAGUUACAAGUGUCUGGACCGACUGCCUGCGACAAGUGGGAGGAAGGUGGGGAUGACGUCAAGUCAGCAUGGCCUUUACAUCCAGGGCUACACACACGCUACAAUGGCGCGUACAAUGGGAAGCAAGACCGCGAGGUGGAGCGAAUCCUGAAAGCGCGUCGUAGUUCGGAUUGCAGGCUGCAACUCGCCUGCAUGAAGCUGGAGUUGCUAGUAAACGUGGGUCAGCACACCACGUUGAAUACGUUCUCGGGUCUUGUACACACCG
rnacentral:rRNA from 1 species